UGGGAGGGAGAGCUAAACCUUCAGAGAGGCAGACACACCUGGGAAACCAGAAGAGACUGCACGCUGCACACAUUACUGAUUCCAGAGGAAAACACCAAACGCCAUCUGGAACCCUGGUGCACUGAAGCUCCCGGAAACGAAGGCGCAGAUCUUCCUGGUUGCUGCCACCACAGAGAGCUCUUGGGCAGCACCCCGCAAGCGAACUUGAGCCUCGGGACCACAGGUAAGAACAACUUUUCUGCUAUAAGUGACCUGCCUGGUGAACUCAAGACACAGGCCCACAGGAACAGCUGAAGACCUGUAGAGAGGAAAAACUACACGCCUGAAAGCAGAACACUCUGUCCCCAUAACAGGCUGAAAGAAAACAGGAAAA
rnacentral:lncRNA from 1 species